GGGUUGUGAGGUUAAGCGAACAAGCGUACACGGUGGAUGCCCUGGCAGUCAGAGGCGAUGAAGGACGUGCUAAUCUGCGAAAAGCGCCGGUAAGGUGAUAUGAACCGUUAUAACCGGCGAUGUCCGAAUGGGGAAACCCGGUGCACUUCGGUGCAUCAUCGUUAGCUGAAUACAUAGGCUAACGAGGCGAACCGGGGGAACUGAAACAUCUAAGUACCCCGAGGAAAAGAAAUCAACCGAGAUUCCCCCAGUAGCGGCGAGCGAACGGGGAACAGCCCAGAGCCUGAAUCAGCUUGUGUGUCAGUGGAACGGUCUGGAAAGGCCGGCGAUACAGGGUGACAGCCCCGUACACGAAGGCACACAGGCUGUGAGCUCGAUGAGUAGGGCGGGACACGUGAUAUCCUGUCUGAAGAUGGGGGGACCAUCCUCCAAGGCUAAAUACUCCUGACUGACCGAUAGUGAACCAGUACCGUGAGGGAAAGGCGAAAAGAACCCCGGCGAGGGGAGUGAAACAGAACCUGAAACCGUGUACGUACAAGCAGUGGGAGCCUUCGUAAGAGGGUGACUGCGUACCUUUUGUAUAAUGGGUCAGCGACUUAUAUUCUGUAGCAAGGUUAACCGUAUAGGGGAGCCGAAGGGAAACCGAGUCUUAACCGGGCGUUAAGUUGCAGGGUAUAGACCCGAAACCCGGUGAUCUAGCCAUGGGCAGGUUGAAGGUUGGGUAACACUAACUGGAGGACCGAACCGACUAAUGUUGAAAAAUUAGCGGAUGACCUGUGGCUGGGGGUGAAAGGCCAAUCAAACCGGGAGAUAGCUGGUUCUCCCCGAAAGCUAUUUAGGUAGCGCCUCGUGAACUCAUCUCCGGGGGUAGAGCACUGUUUCGGCUAGGGGGCCAUCCCGGCUUACCAACCCGAUGCAAACUGCGAAUACCGGAGAAUGUUAUCACGGGAGACACACGGCGGGUGCUAACGUCCGUCGUGAAGAGGGAAACAACCCAGACCGCCAGCUAAGGUCCCAAAGUCAUGGUUAAGUGGGAAACGAUGUGGGAAGGCCCAGACAGCCAGGAUGUUGGCUUAGAAGCAGCCAUCAUUUAAAGAAAGCGUAAUAGCUCACUGGUCGAGUCGGCCUGCGCGGAAGAUGUAACGGGGCUAAACCAUGCACCGAAGCUGCGGCAGCGACGCUUAUGCGUUGUUGGGUAGGGGAGCGUUCUGUAAGCCUGCGAAGGUGUGCUGUGAGGCAUGCUGGAGGUAUCAGAAGUGCGAAUGCUGACAUAAGUAACGAUAAAGCGGGUGAAAAGCCCGCUCGCCGGAAGACCAAGGGUUCCUGUCCAACGUUAAUCGGGGCAGGGUGAGUCGACCCCUAAGGCGAGGCCGAAAGGCGUAGUCGAUGGGAAACAGGUUAAUAUUCCUGUACUUGGUGUUACUGCGAAGGGGGGACGGAGAAGGCUAUGUCGGCCGGGCGACGGUUGUCCCGGUUUAAGCGUGUAGGCUGACUUUCCAGGCAAAUCCGGAAAGUUAAGGCUGAGGCGUGAUGACGAGGCACCACGGUGCUGAAGUGACAAAUGCCCUGCUUCCAGGAAAAGCCUCUAAGCAUCAGGUAACAUCAAAUCGUACCCCAAACCGACACAGGUGGUCAGGUAGAGAAUACCAAGGCGCUUGAGAGAACUCGGGUGAAGGAACUAGGCAAAAUGGUGCCGUAACUUCGGGAGAAGGCACGCUGACAUGUAGGUGAAGCCCCUGCGGGUGGAGCUGAAGUCAGUCGAAGAUACCAGCUGGCUGCAACUGUUUAUUAAAAACACAGCACUGUGCAAACACGAAAGUGGACGUAUACGGUGUGACGCCUGCCCGGUGCCGGAAGGUUAAUUGAUGGGGUUAUCGCAAGAGAAGCUCCUGAUCGAAGCCCCGGUAAACGGCGGCCGUAACUAUAACGGUCCUAAGGUAGCGAAAUUCCUUGUCGGGUAAGUUCCGACCUGCACGAAUGGCGUAAUGAUGGCCAGGCUGUCUCCACCCGAGACUCAGUGAAAUUGAACUCGCUGUGAAGAUGCAGUGUACCCGCGGCAAGACGGAAAGACCCCGUGAACCUUUACUACAGCUUGACACUGAACAUUGAGCCUUGAUGUGUAGGAUAGGUGGGAGGCUUUGAAGCGUGGACGCCAGUCUGCGUGGAGCCGACCUUGAAAUACCACCCUUUAAUGUUUGAUGUUCUAACCUGGCGCCAUAAUCUGGCGUGGGGACAGUGUCUGGUGGGUAGUUUGACUGGGGCGGUCUCCUCCCAAAGUGUAACGGAGGAGCACGAAGGUCAGCUAAUCCUGGUCGGACAUCAGGAGGUUAGUGCAAUGGCAUAAGCUGGCUUGACUGCGAGAGUGACGGCUCGAGCAGGUGCGAAAGCAGGUCAUAGUGAUCCGGUGGUUCUGUAUGGAAGGGCCAUCGCUCAACGGAUAAAAGGUACUCCGGGGAUAACAGGCUGAUACCGCCCAAGAGUUCAUAUCGACGGCGGUGUUUGGCACCUCGAUGUCGGCUCAUCACAUCCUGGGGCUGAAGUAGGUCCCAAGGGUAUGGCUGUUCGCCAUUUAAAGUGGUACGCGAGCUGGGUUUAGAACGUCGUGAGACAGUUCGGUCCCUAUCUGCCGUGGGCGCUGGAGAAUUGAGGGGGGCUGCUCCCAGUACGAGAGGACCGGAGUGGACGCAUCACUGGUGUUCGGGUUGUCAUGCCAAUGGCACUGCCCGGUAGCUAAAUGCGGAAGAGAUAAGUGCUGAAAGCAUCUAAGCACGAAACUUGCCCCGAGAUGAGUUCUCCCUGACUCCUUGAGAGUCCUGAAGGAACGUUGAAGACGACGACGUUGAUAGGCCGGGUGUGUAAGCGCAGCGAUGCGUUGAGCUAACCGGUACUAAUGAACCGUGAGGCUUAACCUUACAACGCCAAAGAAGU
rnacentral:rRNA from 1 species